rnacentral:rRNA from 1 species
GAUCUGGCUGAGUGGUCUGCCUCACGGUAUGUACUGCUCGGCUGGGUCUUACCUCUUGGUGAGCCAGCAUGUCCUUUACUGGAUGUGUUGGGGAACCAGGACUUUUACCUUGAGAAAAUUAGAGUGUUCAAAGCAGGCCUAUGCCCGAAUACAUUAGCAUGGAAUAAUAAAAUAGGACGUGCGGUUCUAUUUUGUUGGUUUCUAGAGUCGCCGUA